rnacentral:lncRNA from 1 species
CUGCCCCUUCCCCACUGGGACUGGGGGUGGGACUUCUGUUCACCACCCAUCAGUCUCAUCCUAACCUGAGUGCCUUCUGCAGACCCUGGGCAAUGCUGAAGCACAGCCCUGACCACACCUGUGUCCUGACCACACCUGUGUCCUGACCACACCUGUGCCCUGACCACACCUGUGUCCUGACCACACCUGUGUCCUGACCACACCUGUGCCCUGACCACACCUGUGUCCUGACCACACCUGUGCCCUGACCACACCUGUGCCCUGCUCCAGGAUCCCAGAAUGGCCCCACCUCAGCACUCUAGUCGGAGUCCGGCCAACACCUGGGCACCAGGGGAAAGUGGCCUGCUGGGGGAGGAAGUCAGGCCUGGGGAGGCUGUGGACCCUGGGAGCUUCCUUGCCUGCCCCCGCCCCACCUUCACUCCUGCACACAAAGGCACAGAGACACACGAAUGCACAACGCCUCGCCACGCUCUCGCACGGAUGCCACGUGGCAGCAGAAGUAGAAGACUCCACCCUGCUCAGCUUCUGACCUGUGACCUUGGCCAUGUCGCUGGCCCUCCCUAAGUCUCUGUCUCCCCAUUGUGGGUGGAGGGGCUGGGCCCAGGGGCCUGGGGGGCAGGAGGCUGAGGCUGGGUGUGGGCUGGGGCUGUCCUGGCCCCCGCUCCUGUUUCGACCACCAGGCUUCCUCCCCCUGCCCCUCUGGGGAGGGACCAUAAUUAACGUCUUCCUGUUCAGAUCAGGAGUCCGUUUCCAAAAACAUUUUUGGAAGGAUUAUUUUGCAAAGGAAAUGUUUUUGAAAGACUCUUGUGUCCCGUCCCGGCCGAGGGAAGUGGGAGCAGCAGUUGGAGCGGGGAUAGCGG